AAAUUGAAGAGUUUGAUCAUGGCUCAGAUUGAACGCUGGCGGCAGGCCUAACACAUGCAAGUCGAACGGUAACAGGAAACAGCUUGCUGUUUCGCUGACGAGUGGCGGACGGGUGAGUAAUGUCUGGGAAACUGCCCGAUGGAGGGGGAUAACUACUGGAAACGGUAGCUAAUACCGCAUAACGUCGCAAGACCAAAGAGGGGGACCUUCGGGCCUCUUGCUAUCGGAUGUGCCCAGAUGGGAUUAGCUAGUAGGUGGGGUAACGGCUCACCUAGGCGACGAUCCCUAGCUGGUCUGAGAGGAUGACCAGCCACACUGGAACUGAGACACGGUCCAGACUCCUACGGGAGGCAGCAGUGGGGAAUAUUGCACAAUGGGCGCAAGCCUGAUGCAGCCAUGCCGCGUGUAUGAAGAAGGCCUUCGGGUUGUAAAGUACUUUCAGCGGGGAGGAAGGGAGUAAACUUAAUACCUUU
rnacentral:rRNA from 1 species